CGAAAAUAAGAAUUACAUCAUUCUUGAAUCCAACAAUAAGAAAAGAAAGAUGAGGUUCAUAAUCUUGUUCAUAAUCUUUAUCUCAGUAGGAUCUAACGAUUCCGGGCAUGAAAGUGGUGCUGGAAUUUACGGAUCCAGCUUUAAGUUCUUGUGACGUUGCAUCUGAAUGGAGCAAAACAUUUGAAGGCUGAGGUAUGCUGGAAAUCGGUAUCUACAUUCCACAUGACAAGUGUUUUUUUUGCAAGCCUUAGAAACCAAUGUUGUUGUCACUCUUAGGCAACCACAUUGGUCGUGUGUGCACCCAACCUUCUUAGGUGUGGCUGAGCCUAUAUAUAUCAGCCACACCUGCACUGUCUUCACUUUCAGGUCAAUCAGAUUCAAUUAAAAGGGUCCAAAAUGCUCCUAUUUUGGGUUCUAGAAUUUGCUUUAGCGGUUUUCGCUUGUGAGCCCAUAGGAGAUACUGAUGCAGCCUGUAGAAACGACUGUUACCGAAAAGACUGUGAUGGAACAGUGUAUGACAUCCAAGAGGCUACUUGCUGUGAAAACAAACUUCACCCAGGUGCAAGUUUGUCUUGUUGUGGAAAUGAGCCUUACAAUCCUGAAACAGCCACUUGUUGUAAACACAAUCUCACAGCCAGUGUUACUCAGGAUCUGAGUGAAAAGGUGUCCAAGUGCUGUGACCUGAAGGCCUACAACCCAGUCAAUGAAAUAUGUUGUCAAUCAACCAUCAUAUCAAAACCUGGACCAAUGGCUGAAUGCUGUGGUAAAGAUGUUUUUGAUAAGGACAAGCAGUUGUGUUGUGGUCCAGCUGAUAAUAAGACAAUUCUGGUGAGGAAUUCCCGUCACCAUGAGUGCUGUGGUCACAGCCAGUACGACACUGAGACUCAGUGCUGCUGUUCAAAUGAGGAGAAGUUGGAGAUACAAUCGAAGGAUUCAUCCUGCUGUGUCAAGAAUUUCACUCCAGGUGUACAAAAACAGAUCACAGAGCUUCAACCCAACUGCACUGAACCAAACACUCAUCUCUGUGGGUCAUCAUGUUACAAUCCAAAGGAAAGUCAGUGCUGUGAGAGAAAUCAAAAGCCUCACUGGUUCUGUGCGUCAGGUGUAAGCAAGACAACACCAGCUGUGUAUAACCCACGCACACAAGUCUGUUGUAAUGGAUGUGUAUCUGUAUGGAAGCCUUGGAUAGAUCAAUGCUGUGGAGAGACGCCGUAUGGCUCGGCACAGCGUGGAGUUCUCUGUUGUAAUAACACCUUGUACGAGGACAGAGACGAUGGAGAGCAAUGUUCAGAGAUGGGUAUUCCUUACAACCCGGCUAAAGGGACCAUAUGUUGUUCUCAGUUUCACGGCAGCCCAGGACAACACUGCUGUGGGACAGAAAUUUACCGGCCUCAUGCUGAGAUCUGCUGCAAUGGACACAGGCAUCUCAAAUCAGAAAACAUUUACUGCUGUGGGGUCAAAGCCUACAACAUUAAAGACCCACAGAUGAAGUGCUGUGCAGGAACACUGUACAAUCUGACAUCAUUAGAUGAGCAUGGAGGGGACGUGCAGUGCUGUGGAUCCAUUCUGCAAAAGCCACAGGACAUUUGCUGCUCAAGUGAGGACAAAGAGGUGCUGUACUCUGCCAAGACAGGGUUUAGAUGCUGUGGUCACUUCUACUAUAACACCACCCUGUGGUCAUGCUGUGCUGGGAGGCUGAGAUCAAUCCAUGAAGCAGGACAGGAUCAGAGAAAGAUGAUAAAAGAAUCCAGACUUCUAUCUGUGAAUAAUUUGAAUAAAGCUAAUCUUUCCGAAGUGUACAUUGGGGCUGUGGAAAGUGUCUCUCUGCAGAGCGUUGUGUUCAGGAAUGUUUUGAAGGUCUAUGGGAUGGAGGCCAAAGUGAAAGCUCUGCCUUUGCCCUACGUCCUGGAAACAAAUGAUCGCUGUAGCUAUCCUAAACUGAUUCCUGGGAAGACCUACUUCUUUAACAAAGACAAUAUUUUCACUGGUUUCAUCAAUGAUUCUUUUCUUCAGUCACUCCAUUUCAUUAUUUCCGAGUGUUCACCUAGGAUAGAAUAGAAUAGAAUAGAAUUCAACUUUAUUGUCAUUGCACAUGUCACAGGUACAGGGCAACGAAAUGCAGUUUGCAUCCAUCCAGAAAGUGCUUUAGUCGUGAAAUAGAUAUAUUACAAUAUAAAUUAGCAAUAAUAUAGAUAUGUAAGUAUAUUACAGAAAUGGGUCUAUUAUGGUAUGUUAUAAUGUACACAGUGUGAAGUAUGUUAUGAAUAUUCUAUAACUAUAAGUAUGUACAGGCUGUAGUGAGUACAAGCUAUGUACAGGCUAUGAACAGGAUAUAAAUAUGAAAUAAAAACUAUACAGAAAUCUGAGAUAUACAGUUAUACAGAAUGUGAACUAUGCAAGUUAUAAACAGUUGUGGGAUUAAAAAUUAUCGUAUGUACAGAAUGAUUAUCUACACAGAACUAUACAGUAGUGGUAAAGUGCUAGUGGUUGUGGGUGUGUGUAUGUUCAGUCCAUGAGUUUAACGUGGGUCAGAUGUCAGGAGGCAGAGUUCAGGAGUCUGACAGCUGUGGGGAAGAAGCUGUUCCGGUACCUGGUGGUCUUAGUCCGGAGGCUCCUGUAGCGCCUCCCAGAGGGCAGGAGGGUGAAGAGUCUAUGUGAUGGGUGACUGGGGUCUCUGAUGAUUUUCCCAGCCCUUUUCAGACACCGCUUCCUGUAGAUGUCCUUUAUGGCAGGAAGUGGUGCUCCGGCGAUGCGCUGGGCAGUUUUCACGACCCUCUGCAACGCCUUCCGGUCCGAGGCAGAGCAGUUCCCAUACCAGACUGUUAUACAGUUGGUCAGGAUGCUCUCGAUGGUGCAGCGAUAGAAGUUCACCAGGAUGUCUGAGGACAGGUGGUUCUUCCUCAGAGUCCUCAAGAAGAAGAGGCGCUGGUGAGCCUUCUUGACCAGCUUGGAGCAGUUGGUCGUCCAGGUGAGAUCCUCGGAGAUGUGGACUCCCAGGAACUUGAAGCUGCUCACACGCUCCACAGCCGUCCCCUUAAUGUGGAUGGGUGGAUGUGGGUCAGCAUUCCUCCUGUAGUCCACGAUGAGCUCCUUAGUCUUCUCGGUGUUAAGCAGCAGGUUGUUUGUGUCGCACCACUCAGCCAGACGAUCCACCUCCUCCCUGUAGGCGGCCUCGUCGUUGUCACUGAUGAGGCCAAUCACCGUGGUGUCAUCUGCAAACUUAAUGAUGGUGUUGGAACCAUCAGCAGGUCUGCAGUCGUGGGUGAAGAGGGAGUAGAGGAAAGGGCUCACCACUCACCGAAAAUCAACAAAUAUGCCUUUUGCAUACUGAGCACUUACACUAAAGCUGAGUGUAUGCUGACACCAGCCCAGCAGCUAGACCCUGAACUUCAAAACGUAACAAAGGCAAUGAUGAACAGUUAGGCUGGUAGGCUGGCAGUUAGGCUCAGUUACACUGAGAGCUCUCAAUGUAAAUCUAUCAAACCAGUGAACUUUCUUUUUAAGCAUUCUGCUUUUUAAGCAGCCUUUACUUUAUGCACCACAGUUAUUCUGUGGUGCAUAAAGUAGAUCUUUGAAGCAAUACUGAUGCAAUAGAGUUGAGCGGGGAGUCAGUCUUUCAUUACGUGAAUUUAUAGAUGGAAACUACAUCUGUAAAAUGAAAAUGAAACCAGCUUCAUCUCAAAGAAUAAAUGAAUUAACUUCCUAUUGUGUUCACUAUCUUUAGAAACUAUCUUCCAUAUUUAUUACUGAUUGUAGUCACUUCAUGAUAUAACCACACUAUGACUAGUUGACACAGAAGAUAAAGUCUUAAAACAGAUGUUAACUUUUCCCAAGACCAGACAUUGGCUAUAUCAUAUGACUCAUUACUCAUUAAGUUAGGACAUUAUAAAGCAUAACUAUUAAAGGUGGCACUAAAAGUCAAAAGAUAGCCAUAAACAGGAGGAUAUAGCUGAUCAGUAUAUUUAUAUGUAAAAUUUAUAUGUAAAAUGGUCAAUUUAAUAGUAGCUCAGCCAGUCCACUCUGAUCUAAAGUGGUGAACUGGCUACUGAAAGACCAGCACAACUCUUAGUUACUUAUAGCUUGAUCCUGCAUAGAUAGCUUCAGACUAAUUUGGCCUACGUCUGGCCCCUAAACUGUACCUAGUUUUAUUCCAAGUGCACUGGGAGUUGCUGUAACAGGUGUGGUGAUUAGAUACCUGGCCUGCAAGUAUGCUCAGGCCCCAGUUUUUGCCAGAGUAGGUGGACAUUCUUGGAGAGAGAUGUAGGACCAGGCGAGUCCUUUCAUUCACUAGCUCAAUCUGAACUCGGAAUCGCCUGCUCUGUAAUAGUUGUAGGAUCAGAGAUUAGGGCUUUUUAAACAGAGAGCCGAUUCACACUUCCUGUAUUGGGGUGCGUCCUGACAAUCCACAAGAUGAUCUCCUAUGGCAACCACUUAAACAAAGAGGAUAAACAACUACUUUCACAUUUUAGUUAGAAAUGCAUGAAAAUGCAAAUUCAUUUUUAAUGUUUUUGAAAUGCAGUUUUCUGGAUUUUUUUUGUUAUUGUUAUUACUCUCUCUGUUUAAAUAAACCUACCAUUGAAAUGAUAGACUGAUCAUUUAUUUGUUUGUGGCCAGACUUUCCCUGACUGUAAGAUUUUACGUUCAAAAUUACAUAAAACCAGACAGGGGAAAAAACGUCAAAAACAUCAACAUCCAAGCACAGAGAAAGAAAAAAAAAAAACACAGCUCAGUCAGUUUAAAUCUAUCUGUCACGGUCCUGGGUGUUACCCAGGGUUUUGUGUUUAAUUUCUAUUUCCUGAUUAUUGAUUAUUCAUGGUUUUGUUUUUCUUGAUGUUGUUUGUUGUUCUGGCUUCUAGUUUAAGUCACUGUCUUCCGCGUGUUUCAGUCUGUCUCUCAGUACAGUACAGUGAGUCUAGUUUUCCUUCCCCUCGUCUCGUUAUGUUUAAUUAAUCCCAGCUGUGCCUCCCUCCUGUGUCCCAUUCCCCCAUUACUCUGUAUAUUUAAGCCCUGUGUUUUCCCUUGCCCUUUGUCGUGUUGUACUCUCCUCCCGUACUAUCUGUUCCAUCUGCUAGUCUCUUUAGUUUAUUUGUGUUUUCAGUUUAGUUAUUUUGUUGUGUUUAUCAAUAAAGCUGUGUUGAGUGUGCUUUUUCGCCUCUGUGAGUCUGCACACAGUACAUGACACUAUCAGUCUAAAAACUUUCAGAAGAAAUGCUGGAGUCUGAAGAAGCUGAUCUUCUGUGUGAAUGGGCAACAGAGAGUCCAAAGGUCCAGGAAGGAAUCAGGGUCCAGCAGAGGUGUAGUUUCACAUAAACACAAAGUGCAGUCGAAUGGGUUAAAGAUUAUGUAGAAUCUCUGUUAAUAUGAUUGAGAAGAAGGCCCCAAAUUUGAACAAAUUUUAAGUGAGUGUCAGCCAGACAAUAACAAACCUCGUCACUAUAAAACAUGCAAUCAUCUCACGUAUCCAAACCCUAAACAAGGGAGGAAAUGGUCAUUUCCAGGCUCUAAAAAAAAAACUUAGGCUCUAAGUUUUUUAGCUACAAUUAUGCCAUGCGGAACAUUAAGGCUUUCUGAAGGGAACAACAAGCUUUUAACUGAUUCAAAACUGAUACAUGGCUAUGUAAUGGAAAAUUACAUUACAUAGCCAACAAUGACUGAAUUGUGACAACUGCGUGCAGAGACAAAGGUUCAUUUUUUGCAGUU
rnacentral:lncRNA from 1 species